UGGGGUAUAUUGCACAAUGGGCGCAAGUCUGAUGCAGCCAUGCCGCGUGUGUGAAGAAGGCCUUCGGGUUGUAAAGCACUUUCAGCGGGGAGGAAGGCGUUAAGGUUAAUAACCUUGGCGAUUGACGUUACCCGCAGAAGAAGCACCGGCUAACUCCGUGCCAGCAGCCGCGGUAAUACGGAGGGUGCAAGCGUUAAUCGGAAUUACUGGGCGUAAAGCGCACGCAGGCGGUCUGUCAAGUCGGAUGUGAAAUCCCCGGGCUCAACCUGGGAAAUGCAUUCGAAACUGGCAGGCUAGAGACUUGUAGAGGGGGGUAGAAUUCCAGGUGUAGCGGUGAAAUGCGUGGAGAUAUGGAGGAAUACCGGUGGCGAGGGCGGCCCCCUGGAGAAAGACUGACGCUCAGGUGCGAGAGAGUGGGGAGCAAACAGG
rnacentral:rRNA from 1 species